rnacentral:misc_RNA from 1 species
ACCGGUUACUGCAAGCCGCCGAGACUGAGACUACUCAGAUCUCAAACCAGUGCGCACAGAGAAAGCGGAGCCCUUUGUUCGCAUUUUCUUGCGGAUUCGAUCUUCUGGGAGUCUUCUAUUCAUCAGGUGAGCUUCGAAACAUCUCUUAUUUUAAUGAGAAUUCUUCCUUUCCUGUUUUACCUUUUUCAUCUGGGCCUUUACAGUUAUUAGGGUUUUCUACUCUAUCCAUGCCUUCUCAACGUUGAUCAACUUUUUCACUGAAUUGGCCAAAAGCGAGACAGGUUUGAAGUGGGUUGCUAGUUUUUAUAUCAGGGGAAAAAAGGGCCAAUAAUCAGAAAUGGCAGGACUGAAUAAUCCUAAGCAUCUUGAGGACUGCUCGGUUGCCAAGUCAGUUUCUUUUUCCCCCCUUUUCUUCUGUAGAAUUUUUCUUCAUUUAUUUCUUUUUAUGUGUAUUGAGUUCUGGUAUGUAAACCUCUUGUUAGUGUAAGAUUAUAUUCUGACUUCUGCUAUGCUCUUACUAUAGUGUUUUAGGUAUUUGAAACCUUUAUUGCCAUAUUAUGCUGAGUAUAGGAAAUUUGUAAUAAGAUUAUUCUUGGAUGUACAAGCAAAACCUGUUUAUGCUAACAUAUCCGGCAGAUAAUUCUUGUUUCUAAUCCUGAUAGCUUUUCUAGUCCUUUUAAUGCUUGGUUGAUCUUGUGGUUUAUCUUAGUUGAUUGUGUCACUCACAGCUAAUCUAUAGUUGCUUAUAUUUUAGGGUAGGCAAUGUUGAUUAGCAUCUCAAAGUUUAAAGUUUUGCGAGCAAAAUUUGUUACCAUUACCAAUAUCCAAGCCUAUAGAUGAAUAGCUCAAAACUUUGCUACUCUUGCAACUACUGAAUUGAUAUUACAAGGUUUUUAAGGUAGUUGUUUGAACUUUGUUGCUUGCUAUAAAAUUGUGAGCUUUUGGUUAUUUCAAACCAUUUUAUUAUAUAAAGUAAAUUUAGAAUUUUCCAGCUUAUGUAAAAAUGACAAGCCCAAGCGCCCAAUUAAGAGCAAGCAUGGUUCCUGAUUUGAACAUUCAGCAAUUUGGGGAAAAAAUGCACUGCAGCUAGAUUGAGAAGUGGAUAAAAAUUGAUCUCUUUAUAGGAGCAAGGGGA